rnacentral:lncRNA from 1 species
AUGAGAGUCCAGGACAGCUUCUGCCAAGCUCAUCUCAUCCCAAAGCUCAAAGCACUGCCCGAGGCAGCAGAGGAAGUGCAGGGCCGAGGCCUUCCCAGCCUUCUAUCUGCAGCCGAACAGGGACCCAGGAGCAGCCGUGCUCAGCUCGGGCUGCACACAGCACCAGCUGAGGACGUGAACAGCUGCUGGGACAGCAAUGCCCCGAUCUUAGGGGUCGGGUCGGCUUCACGCAGUGCCAGAGAUCUCACACGCAAAUAUGUGGACCGGGUCAGAACACGGCUGGUGAAACAUCUAAGGCCAACUGAGACGUCCAGGGAUGGAUACGCAGACCAAGGUGGUACUCGUACAGAGUACUUUCAAUCACAAAAAGGAACAAAGUGCUUGUACUUUGAAAACAUCCUGCUAAGUGGAAGGAAUCAUUCAUCAGAGGGCAAAUAUUUAGGAUCCCAUUUGUAUGAUACAUCCAGUCCAACAGGCAAAUGUGUAAAGUAGAUGGG